rnacentral:rRNA from 1 species
CCUACGGGUGGCAGCAGUGGGGAAUCUUCCGCAAUGGGCGAAAGCCUGACGGAGCAACGCCGCGUGAUCGAAUGAAGGCCUUCGGGUUGUAAAGAUCUGUUGACAGGGACGAAUAAGCCAUGCGAAUAGUUUGGUGUAUGACGGUACCUGUUUAGAAAGCUCCGGCUAACUACGUGCCAGCAGCCGCGGUAAUACGUAGGGAGCAAGCGUUGUCCGGAAUUACUGGGCGUAAAGGGCGCGUAGGUGGGUGCUUAAGUCAGGUGUGAAAACGCUGGGCUCAACCUGGGGACUGCACUUGAAACUGGUUUUCUUGAGUGCUGGAGAGGCAAUCGGAAUUCCGUGUGUAGCGGUGAAAUGCGUAGAUAUACGGAGGAACACCAGUGGCGAAGGCGGAUUGCUGGACAGUAACUGACGCUGAGGCGCGAAAGCGUGGGGAGCAAACAGGAUUAGAUACCCGAGUAGUC